CCUACGGGGAGCAGCAGUGGGGGAUAUUGGACAAUGGGGGGAACCCUGAUCCAGCGACGCCGCGUGAGUGAAGAAGUAUUUCGGUAUGUAAAGCUCUGUCAGCAGGGAAGAAAGAAAUGACGGUACCUGACCAAGAAGCCCCGACUAACUACGUGCCAGCAGCCGCGGUAAUACGUAGGGGGCAAGCGUUAUCCGGAAUUACUGGGUGUAAAGGGAGCGUAGACGGUUAAGUAAGUCUGGAGUGAAAGGCCGGGGCUCAACCCCGGGACUGCUCUGGAGACUAUUUAACUUGAGUUCAAGAGAGGUAAGCGGAAGUCCUGGUGUAGCGGUGAAAGUCGUAGAUAUUAGGAGGAACACCAGUGGCGAAGGCGGCUUACUGGACUGUAACUGACGUUGAGGCACGAAAGCGUGGGGAGCAAACAGGAUUAGAUACCCCAGUAGUC
rnacentral:rRNA from 1 species